rnacentral:rRNA from 1 species
UACUAGCGGUCCAAGUGGCAGCCCUGUUUAUUGGGUCUAAAACAUCCGUAGCUUGUUAAGUAAGUCUCUUGUGAAAUCCGGCAUCUUAAGUGUCGGGCGUGCAAGAGAUACUGCUUGGCUAGAGACCGGGAGACGUGAGGAGUACGGUUAGGGUAGCGGUAAAAUGCGUUGAUCCUUUCUGGACUAACGAUAGCGAAGGCACCUCGCGAGAACGGAUCUGACAGUGAGGGAUGAAGGCUAGGGUCGCAAAACGGAUUAGAUACCCGAGUA